AGAUACAGGUAAAUAGAGAAAUGUGAGGGUGCGAGUUGUCCAUGACGGCGAUGCAGCUGUUGGAUUGUCCGCCUUAGCGAACUGCGGUGUCUGGAAGUCGGAUAUCCAGAAUCGACGGUCGAGGAUGGCCGUGAAUGGCAAGUACGGCGUCGUAAAGGAGGCAGAUGGGCGUCAACAUGAUGCCGUACUCUUUGCUAAAGAACGCGGCACAAUUCAAAACUAACGUCAUCGUUAAGCUAGUCCGUCUAGUGUAAUUGACAAGGCCGGCUAAGACGAAGAAAGUGCAUAGCAAAUCUGCCCGUCCGACCAAUCCAGCCACAGCUUCGCAAUGGAUGGGGAAUAAUGUUGAUGCUCUUCCGGCCAUCGCUGUCACCGCAGCUGUAAUGACGCAAUGAAGCAAGACGUUUGUCCAAUGGUACCAAUAGGCAUGAUUGACUCCAACCAGGUGUGCGGUCCAGCGAAAGGAUAGCGUUACCAAGGGGCGGUACGAUCCGUGAGAGCCGCAAGCGUUUAGCGGAGUGCCCCAGAAAUCGUGUAGCAUCAAGUCGCUUAACGUGGACGACUCGGAAGCAACGGUUUAUGGUUGUCUAAUAAAAACGAGAAGGAGCAGCCCGUGGCAGUGAUACCGUGAUGAGCAUUUAGAUGAUGUCAGUUAAACGGCCGUACAAAAUACGCUAGACAAGACCCCACAGUCGAAAAGAAUGCUCCAUGGCCAGCGGAAUAAGAAAAUAAAAUACAGUUUCCACUUGAAUCCAUCAUAGCCGGCAGCUUCGGGGAGAAGAAGAAAAAAAAAAAAAUGCUCGUUAUGGACGAUUGUUGUUGCUGGCAUUCGAUUGAGACUAAUCAAAAGGUAUGCCCCAGGCUGUGAUGAUCGUCCUAUCUGAACGAAUGAUGGGUCCGCCUGAACGAACCCUGCAGGCAGUUUCCCGUCAACGUCGCCGACUGACGACGUUUGAUUUCCUCUUUGUCGAAUAAGAGCCUGGCAACCGUCGCCGCUGCAGGGCAAUCUAUUAUGUCCAUCUAGCCACUUUGCCCUUGUGAUUAUUGCUUUUAAAAAAUAGUUUUUUUUAUCGAAAUCGAUCUAGAUGGGCU